UCCUUUUGUCCUGUAGGUACCCCAAGCUGUGGAAAGAGAGGCCAUCUGGGGGGGACACCGGCGGUUCCACCGAGCCAAGGUUAAUCUCUCCUUUCCAGUCUCCUCCAUCUCUCUGUUUAUGGAUGGCAGGCGAUCUUCAGAUGACAGAGUCUGGAAAACUGGUCUUGGGAGCUACCUCCUCAGGGACUCCAUCAAUAAGAUGCUGCCAUGGCCAAUUAGCCUCUUUGAAGUUAUCCAGAUGGACCAAAACCAGAGGAUUCAGUUCAGUGACAAGAGUGACCUAAAAGUUCAGCAAGGAUAUCAGAUAUUUUUCCCCUUUCAGCGGUGGCAUUUCUGAACUGUUUGGAAUCUCUGCAUUGCCACCCUGGGGUGAAUGUCUUCCAUCGGCAGCCAGCUCGUAAUGACUGCUCCUCGACGAGAUCGAAUGAGAGUCAUCAUUGAAGUGCAGCAAGGUGGUAUAAGGAAGGGGCUGAGAAUUGUCGACCUCUGGUCCAGAGCCUUGGCCAUUCCAGUGUGUCUUGCUUGCCUGCCUGCCUGUGCCUGAGGGGAGAAAAUGGAACUGACAUCUCUCCUGAGGCCUCCCUGGUCAAAUGCAAUCACGUUGACUGAAAGUUCCCAUUGUGUUCAGCUCUCUAAACAACAAUCCCCCUACCCAGAGAGUGCACUUUGGCCAGAGGAAGAGGUGAUGAAGAGUCAUCUGUACCAUUGCUGACCAAUUUCAACAUCUCAUUUAAAACUGCAAGGAGUCGAGGCCGGUUCUGAAUUAUGUAUUAAACCUAGCUUCCAAAUAUAGCCUUGGCUGAGAAUCUCAGCUAAAUGUCCACGAAACAUCAAUCCUACAAAUCACAGCUCUCACCCCCUUAUUUGCUGUUCUGGUUGUCACUUCCUAUAACUUUUCACUGUUGACGCUGGCAUUCUAGUGCCCAAUAUCGAACCCUCAAUAUUAAACCACCUUCCACCUCCUUGCUCUUCACUCUGUGUCUUGAGUCAUGAAAAGCACCAAGAUCUCCCAUUUAAUGUCCUCAGAGUACAUGAAAUCUGUCUGCAAUUUUGACGAGAGCACAAAUUGUUACUCAUUGUCCAGUGGGGAACACUUAGCUCUACCAGCCUUUCUCCAGUAUCAAAGCCUCUAUUAUACUCUCGCUAAUAAUCGCUAAUGGAAGCGGUGCUGCUCACGGCAAUCUUCAGAUUCAUCAAGACCAGAGCUUGAAAGACUCCCCAGGGCCUGUGCUGCUGGUGCCAAGAGGAGGUCUUGGCGUCUGGAUCUCUCCGUUCACUCUAUUCUUCCUUCCAGCAAAAGCUUCCCAUUCUACCCCAUCCCCGUUCUCCCUUUCUUCCUUUCAUUUCGACAAUAGCUCAUCAUCAAAAUGCAACUAAUAUCAAAUAAUAGUUAGUAGGUGAUACUCCUGCCGUGUAUCCCCUCACACUCCAGCUCCCCUUCAGUCAGCCUUUCAGUCGUUUAGAGGAUCAUUUCAACAACUGAAAAUGUGGUCAUGCUAGAGUUCCGGUGUAGUUUGUGGAUAGGAUACACAUUAUGCAAGUUUGUUGGUCCUCCCCGGGUUUUUGCUUAUUGUAGUCAUUAACAAUUAGUCUUUCAGUCUCAAGAACAUUAUGCAUUAAGGGGUGAAAGAUGGGGCCAUACAGGUCAUUUAUGAUCACCAUCUAACUCUGCCACGUAUACUUUCACUAGCUGGCUCUUUAUGUCAGAACCACAGUCCGCUUGCACAGGUACCAUGUUCCCAUCUGCUUAGGACCCUUAUUUACGCUGUUCCCUGCCCUUUCUGGAGUGUCACUAAAACUCUUCUUCUUCAUCUAUUAUUUACUCAUUCUGCUUUGCUCUCCAGGAAACAAGUACAGGAACACAGGAACUCGUAUUUGUUCUGAUCACUACGGUAUACAAGUGCUUAAACUCAUGCCCGACAAGUAAUAGGUACUGAGUAAACGCUGGAUGGAUAAUGAAUUCACUGCAGCAUGAUUCCCACAACAAAGCCGUUCGUGCCUUGCUCUACUCCAGAAUUUGUUUGCUUUCUUUAUGAGAUGUGGUUAUCGCCCAUGUACUUUGUACUAGAGCACACAUCUCAGGCUACGGUAGUACAAUCAUUAGUUAACCAGACUCUUUGAGGACAACAGAGCCACCACUACUUGGUAUGUGCCAGUUAUCACGUCUACCUAAAGCUAUGUACUGAAUGAAGAGAUGAAUAAACACCAUGGCAAUAAUGCUACGUUAGGCAUUUUAGUGAUCUAAGGAAACUGGACUUGCUCAUAUUCUCCAGAACCUUAUAAUUACCUAAGGGGCAGGGGACCAAAACCUUCAAGUAGAUAGUGGUGCAAAGUGAUAGACAAUUAACCCCCAGCAUUUCAGAACAAGGGGCUCUACAAACUAUGUUCGUCAGCCGUAACUUGACCUAGAAGUUUUGAGUGAUUGUCAUUCAAUGAUAGUGAUGAUCACGUGAGGUACCUAGACAACAUGUACUUGUAGACGGCCAGAGCUGAAAAAUCUGUUGUGGGCUGAGGAGAGGACUCCAUAGGUAAAGUGUUUGCCUUGCAAGCGUAGGGAGCUGAUUUCAACCUAGAACACACAUGGAAAAUCAGGGUAUGGUGGUACAUGCUUGUAGUCACAGUGCAGAGGAGGAAGAGAUGGACAGAUCCCUGAGGAUCACUGGCCACCCAGACUGUGAGCUAAUCUCCAGGACAGGUAGAGGCCAUAUCUCAAAAAUAAAGGUACACAGGGCCUGAGGAAUGACACCCAAAGUUAUCCUUUGGCCUCGACAUUCACACACAUGUGCUUGUAUACCCUCAUGCAUGACCACACAUACACACACCCACAAAGAAAAAAAAUCCUGUUGUAUCCUUGAGUUCAAGGAAAGUGUAUGGAAGAAGCUGGAAUUGAGUUCUGAGAGGUUAAAUUUUAGUCAAGCAUCAAUUUUCUAUUAUUAAUUGCAAGAAUACAGCCCUCCUUGUCUAUGCAGAUUUGGAGCUGGUAAACCUCAGCCUCUGAACCAAGCUGGCCAUGGUUUUUGUAAAUAGAGUUUUAUGAGCACAGGGCUUUCCCAGGGUGCUCACAUCCUGUCCAUGGCUGGUUGCUGUCAUAGUACAAGAGCAGAGCUGGGUGGUUAUCGCAGAGAUCAUAAGGCCCAUACAGUCAAAAAUAUUUACUGUUUGGCCCUUUUCAGAAAGGAUUUGUUAGUCUCUGAGUUAAACUUUCAGGGUUGAGUGGGAGAAACCGCUGUAAAACAAAAAAAAAAUAAAUAAAAUAAAAUCGUAUGAGCUGUCGCUUGGAAAAGACAUGCUGGAAGAUUCAUGGGGGAGCCCUUGAAGGUUCAGUCAGCCCUCUGUGACGAUGGGUUCUGCAUCUGUGGAUGCAAACAACUGAGCAACAUAUUGGGGGCUUGCUUUUGUGCUGAACACACACACACACACACACACACACACACACACACACACACACAUGCACACACAAUUUUUUUCUUGCUGUUAUUCCCUGAACAAUUAUUUCUAUAACUUUAAGAUUGUAUUGGGUAUUAUAAAUAACAUAGGGAUGAUUUGAAGUAUAUGGGGGGGGGGGAUUUAUGCAGCUUGUGUGCAAAGGACUGAAGACUGUCCUGUCUGCAAGGGGUCCUGGAACUCAUCCCCAUGGGUAUGGAGGAACAGGUGUAUUUAAUUAUGCAUGAAAGGGACCUCCCCCAAAUAAAGGAUGUAUGAGUGAUUUUUUUGUUUAAAAACAUUGAUGUGUGUGUGUGUGUGUGUGUGUGUGUGUGUGUGUGUGUGUGUUUGAUGGCUUAUAUGUGGAGAUUGGAGGGCAACUCUAUGGAGUCAGUUCUCUCCUUUCACGGUAGAGCGCUGAGGGUUGAACUCAGGUCAUCAGCCUUGGCAGCAAGUGCUCUUGCCAGCUGGGCCAUCUCAUCAGCCUGUGCGGGACGUUUUUGAGGGAUCUGAAGAUCAGGAAUUUGGUGACAAGGAAGAAGGGCAGGACUACACUUAGAACUGAGAUGAGAAUGAAGAGGUGAACACAUUUUAUUGGUGGAGAAAUACAUAGGCUUUUUCUAGCCUGGGCUGAAGCUUCUCAUUGGAAGUGAAGGGUGAAGUCUAUAUCAAAUGAAGCCCAGGAAAGAGUGCAGAAAACCAGGAGUGUAGGGCUGAACCAUCUGAAAUUCUCCAGCUAGGCAAUGCGCAUGUGAGAUUUGAAAGCUCUUGUCCAGGGCAAUGAUAAGACAGAAGGGAACGGACUGGGGUCUCAUUGGCUUGGGGUGAAGAGGAUUGGGGAACCCUAGAGGUGGUCUAUUGAAAAAGACUAGUGAUAGGGAAAGCAAAUUCAGCUCACAGAUAGGACUUAAUUUGCUCAUAAAGUGCUUGAAUAUGAAAAAAAAUGAAGUGUUACAGCUAUAAAAAGGACAAAUAUUUAUUUCUGAUGGGUCUUUAAAAAUCACCAUGUAUGGCAAUAUGGGAUGCAUUCUUGGGUGAUGGUUGGCAGGUACAGGCCGAGUCACACUGGGUGGAGUUAGCAGAGCCAGGGCCUCCAUUUUGGCCAUCUUUAAUCAUGCAGCGUAAUCCGUGGCUGUAGGGAUUGGUGACCUGCUAUGUCACGAGUCAGAUGGACACGAAGUUUGAAGAGGUGGCUAAUUUGGAAAAGAGUCCACACAUUCACCUUUCCUACCUGCCCUGAACCCUCACCCUCAUCUCCCGCUCUUCAGAAGCUGUCUGAGAAAUCACCUCUUCCAAUAAUAAACAAGGGAGCCUCCCCACCCUCUCUCCCUCUCUUCCUCCCUCCCUCCUUCCUUCUCUCUCUCUCUCUCUCUGUCUCUCUGUCUCUGUCUCUGUCUCUGUCUCUCUCUCUCUGCGCGCUCACGCACGCACAUACCUUUGAUCAGAGAGAGUGGAGCUCAUAGAUGAACGCCUGCCUGGAGGUCACGAUCUCUGUUUUAAUUCCUUUUCAGUUAUACCUUUCACCUUUUUCUCUCACUAAUGUCUCACAGCACAUCGUACCUGCAAAGCCACCACUCCAGCCCCGCGCUGCCCCGUUCCCCAGGACUUUGGUUUCCAUCUCUCUUCCCUAUGCCUUGCAGCCACAACAGCUUUUGUUGCUGCUUCUCAGCACAGUUUUAUUUUUAAUUCUUCCUCAAACAAAAAACUGUUGCUCUGAAGAAAGGUUUUUUUGAGGGUAGCUUGAGUUAUAUUCCCAACAGGGUUCUUUGGACUCCUUCAUAGAGUGUUUUUCUUUCUUUCCCUGGCUGUUGAAAAUAGAUGACUGCAUCCUUUCUUCCAUAUACUCAUGGCAAUAUCUAACUUAGAGGGGCGGUAAAGUCCAUGGAAUGGUCUUUAAUCUGUGGCCGCUCUUGUUGAUCUGGGGGUCUUCCCUACCAUCCCUGCAUGGGAUGUCCAUCUUGCUGCUGAUAACCUGCUCCAUAAACAGUGCAGCCCCUACCAUGGGUGCUGCUGAGCCUAUGGUAGAGACAGGGCCAAGGUGUGAUCCAGUUACACAAAUUUUAUGUUUGGAGAGAAAAAAAAAAUGGUCUGGCUUCUGAAAAGUAGUUUAGACCAGAAUCUUGUGUCCAAGGCAGGAGUGGGAACUCUGCCAGGAGACUUAAUAACUAAUAUUUAGCAUUUUAUUAAAUUAAAAAAUGCAUGCUACAGCAUUUUGGAACUGGUUGGUAUCAAAAAUUGUGUUGAAAACCUUAUCCUGAUCAGAAAAGGUCAGCCAUGAGCUUAAUCCCAUGCUGUUAAUGUCUUCCUGCCUUGUCCUCGAAGAAAAAGGGCCAAAGUAGACGGUCCUGAGGGGCAGUGUGCCAAAGCUGUGAAUGAAGAGGGGGAUGGUGGAGCUGUGCUUGUCCACAGGGAAUAUUGGUUUUCAUCCAGCUUCUUUCUGAGCCCAGUUGCCUGGAUCAAGAAGUUGCUGAAAGCCCCAAUUUUUCCCCAGGGCAAGGACUGAGAUAUGGGUAAGACUGAAGGGUUAUGCAGAGUCCAGGCUAUGACUUCCAAGGUCUGAGCCCCUCACCCCCUUUAAUCUCUUCAACUUCAUGGUUGCAGCUUGACUUUUGUACCUUUUGGUCCCUCUCCUGCUUCCUGGAUUAGUCAAUUUUGCCAUGUGGUGUUGACCAUAAGAAAUACCGUAGACGGAGUGGAUUGAGCAGCAGAAAACUAGAUUCUCAUACUUUUGAUAACUUCAAGUCCAAAGCCAAGGCGAUGAUAGUCAGGCUUGGUUUCUUGUGAGGGCUCUGCUUUCAUCUCACUGUAUUAUCCUUUUCUUUCUUCUGUGUGUGCACAGAGAGCCAGCUCUCUGGUACUUCUUCAUCUUAUAGUCACCAGUCAUAUUGGAUUAGGGCCACACCCUUAUGCUCUCAUUCACUUUAAUUACUUUUGUAAACUCACUAUCUCCAAAUCCAGUCAGGUCAGGUUGCAGUUAAGGAUUGAAACACAGGGAUUUUAGAACACAGUUCUGCCCAUCCUAUUUAUCUCAGAGGGCUGAUAUGAAAUGGACAGAGUAAAAUGAGAUAACAUAUGCAAAGUACCUCAUCAAACUCCUGAGCCACUAGGGAAUCCUGUCUAAAACCACAACAAACAAUGUAAAGAUUGUUGCUGGAAGAAAGAGUGCAGGGAGCAUAAAGUAUUUAAGACAAGAAAAAGGAUGAAGAACAACUGGUUGUUUCAGAGUUUACUCUGUAAGCCAUCUAAUUAUGGCUAUAGCAGGAAAACAUACAUUUCUUUACUAUUGCAAGUAUUUGUUUUCAUUUUUAUUGGUAGAAAUUUGAGUAUUAUAUUUAGUUUUUUUUUUUCUGGUCUAGAAAAACUGAAUCUACCUACUCCCAUCUCUCUGCAGUAGGCAUCACUUACUUUGACAGCUAGAACACUAUGACCUGGGAUGUGGGCUUGUCUAGCGUGUGUGAGGCCUUUUCAGUUCCACAAAAUCCAACCAACCGAACCAAUAAACAACAACAGUAACAUGAUCAAGCUGGGUUCAGAGUAUAUCUCAGUGAUACAACCCUUACCUAGCAUGAAUUAGGCUAUCACUUAGAAUCCAAGCCCUACAACCCAAAGAAAUACUUGACUGGACUGAGGUUGUAGCUCAGUGGUUGAGUAUCUUUAUGAACACAAACAAUAAGUUCAUGGCUGAUGGAUUGUUGUCGAUCCACUGAAACCCAUAGGAAGAUUAUCAGCACAUCUUAAGCCUAGUACUUGCUUUAUAGGGAACUCAUUCUAUCUUUUCUCAGGAGACAAAAUGGAGAGCCAGUGGAUUGAUGGUUGAUAGUUGAAAAGGACUACAGAUGGUAGUUAGCUAUGAUUUUUAUUUGGUGGUGCUGAGAAAUCAAAUUCAGGGCCUUGCCUAUGCUAGACAAGUGCUGUGACACUGAGGUACACUUUGUUGCAGAAUAUUUGUUUACCUAUGCAAAGAUGUGUUGCAUUUGUUUAACUAUGUAAAGAUGUGUUGAAUUUGUUUAAUUAUGUAAUUAUGAUGUUUUACCUUGUCUGCCUACGGCAUCUGAUUGAUCUAAUAAAAAGUUGAAUGGCCAAUAGUGAGGGAGGAGGUAUAGGCGGGACUUCUGGGCAGGGAGAGUAAGUAGGAGGAGGAAUUUAGGCUUGGGAGAAGAGAGAAAAAGAGACACCAGGGUCUAGCCAGCCAGACAUGGAGGAAGCAGGAAAGUAGGACAUAAAGAAUGAAAGAGAGCUAAAAAGCCCUGAGGCAAAAGUAGAUGAUUAGAAACAGGUUAAAUUAAGUUGAAAGAGCUAGUGAGACAAGCCUAAGCUAAGACCGAGCUUCCAUAAGUCAUAAGAAGUCUCUGUGUCAUUGUUUGGGAACUGGCUGAUGGGACAGAGAAAGAGCUCAGCUACAUUUGAUGCCCAAUGUGGGGCUUGAAGGUCCACAUAGGACCUGAGAAAACUGAAAACUGAAGCAAAACAAAAAACAAUGAAUGUGGCUUCUUUAGGAGGCGCUGCGGAGCACCAGGGCACUGGAGCAGCCAGCACACUAAGUAGAAACAGCAAGUGCAACAUGUCUGCUCCUGGCAUCACCAAUCUACUUCAGAGAUGAUGGCCAUUGAAGAACCUCAAUAUGGAGUUUGCUUUCUAUGUAGCAAAGCUAGCUAUUUGGAUAAGAAAAUCCUUGCCUUGACUCCUGACAGUAUUUGGCACAAACUACCCAAGGAAAAAGAUUAUCUAACUUUACCAAGACAAGAUAGGACAAUCCUUCAAAAUUCCUGCUUCAGAGAAAAGUCUGUCAGAUACUCUAAGCCUGUAGGCUGAAGAUGGAUGCUCCAACAUUGCAGAGGAACCUUGGGUGACUGUUCAAGCAGUAGGAUGUUUCUGUCAUUUCUAUAGUUUUGGAUGCUGCUUGCACUGCACUUCCUGUUUACUCAGGUAAUGUUGUAUCCUCAGACUCUGAUAGAGUUGAAGAUGAGAAAGUUUUAGUUAUAGUUUUCCUUGUUACCAGAUUCAGAAAAAAUUUACAUAAGAGAUGCAAAGUUUAUAAGGUUGAGACACAUAAAAACUUGGAUUGUUUAUCUAAAAACAUGUUUUGAGGUCUAAAAAGAUAAUUUUGGGUUGGUAAGACAAGUUAGAAUAAAAAGUAAAUUAGGUACAAAACUUUGGACUCACCAAGAUAGGAUAGAUAAUGGAGUAUUUCUCUUAAUUUGCCAAAUACAAACGGACUGGAUAUUAUAAAUGUAAUUCUUACUUGAUAAUUAUUCUUAUUGUAUAUAGUCUUACUAUGUUAAAGCUAAAACCUUUCUUUUUAUUUAGACAAAAAGGGGGAAGUGUUGUGGAAUAUUUAACUACGCAAAGAUGUGUUGCAUUUGUUUAACUGCAUAAAGAUGUGUUGCAUUUGUUUAUGUUAUGGAAUAUUUGUUUAACUAUAUAAAGAUGUGUUGCCUGUCUGAGGCACCUGGUUGAUCUAAUAAAAAGCUCAACAGUCAAUACUGAGGGAGAAGGUAUAGGUGGGACUUCUGGGGAGAGUAAGUGAGAGGAGGAAAUUUGGCUUGAGGAAGAAAGAAAACGAGAUACCAGGGAGACGCCAGGGGCCGGACAGCCAGACUUGGGGGAAGCAGGAAAGUUGGACAUGUAGAAUGAAAGAAAGCUAAAAUGUCCCAAGGAAAAUGUUAAUUUAAAAGAGCUGGUGGGACAAGCCUAAUAAGAAGUCUCUGUGUCAUUGUUUGGGAGCUGGCUGGUGGGACAGAGAAAGAGCUCAGCUACACCACUCCUGAGUUUCUAAUAAAGUACUUGAUAUUUCCAAGUCCUUUAAAGGCAGUUGAACAGUAGAAAUAUAUUCAUGGAAAGAGGGCAUGAGGACAAAACAGUUGGAUUGCUUGAAACAGCUUUGAUCUGUGUGUGAUGCUAAUCUUCAUUACUACCUGGACUUGACUGAUAACCAUCUAGGAGACUCUAGGUGUGUUGGUGAUGGUAUUUCCAGAGAUUGAUUGAAGGGGGAAGAUCCAUUAGGGCUAUGGGAGGAACCAUACCACGGGCUGGGCACCCAGACAGAAUACAAAGGAGAAUGCCAUCUGAAUGGCGGCAUCCUUUUCUCUGUUGUCAACCAUAGCUCUGCCCAGCUAUGCUCUUCACACCACGAUGGAUGGACAGAUACCUUUGAAACCAUGAGCCUCAAUAAAUCCCUCCUCCUUUAAAUCAUUUCCUUCGUAUAUUUGGCCACAAUAAUUCAAAGAGUAACUAACACAUUAUGUAUGUUUAUUCAGACACAGUCUAAUCUUUUACUUUACCCAAACAAGCUUCUCCUCAGUGCAUUGGCACUCCUCAAAGACAGUUCCCUUUUUCCUCUUUAUUUGGCUACUGAACUUUUAGAUAUCCUUUGAAUAUGAUUUUAGGUUUCUGUAGCAAUUACAAGACUUAAAAAAAUCUCUGAAAUAUAGUAGUUGCCAGAAGGAGAAAUGAUUAAGAAGAAAUAUGAAGGGUGUGAUAAAUGAUGAGAAGUACCAUUAUGUCUGUCUAGGAUAAUACAAAUGGAGAGAGAGGAGAUUCAGUCAAACUUUGAGUCUAAAAGGAAUUGCAUGAUUAUACAGCAUCCUGCAGGUAGCCCAGCAGGGAGGAAUGGUGGCAGUUGUUUACAUUUGAAGGCACUAUCAAAGAGAUGACCCA